rnacentral:rRNA from 1 species
GACGAACGCUGGCGGCGUGCUUAACACAUGCAAGUCGAACGAAGUGGCGAACGGGUGAGUAACGAGUAAUCAACCUGGCAUUCAGAGGGGGACAACAGUUGGAAACGACUGCUCAUACCGCAUACUGCAUGCGGGGAUUGAGUCUGAUUAGAAAGUGGGUGGGAUAAAGGCCCACAAAGGCGAUGAUCAGGAGCCUGUCUGAGAGGAUGAACGGCCACAUUGGUACUGAGACAAGGCCCAGACUCCUACGGGUGGCAGCAGUGGGGAAUCUUCCGCAAUGGACGAAAGUCUGACGGAGCAACGCCGCGUGAGUGAUGACGGCCUGCGGGUUGUAAAGCUCUGUUAAUCGGGACGCGGUACCGGAAUAGAAAGCCACGGCUAACUACGUGCCAGCCGCCGCGGUAAUAC